GUCAGAUAUGUGGAGGUCCAGGAUUAUGUGUCAGCAGCUGCUGCCUGAGAGAAGUGUGAGGGCAAGGCAAGUCAAAGUGGAGGAGGGGAGGGAGGCUGACAAGUGACCUUGGAGACAGGCCACUGCUAUCAUUCCAGCGGCACCCGCUGUCACUAGUAUUCACAUCUCUCAUAAGUACAGAGGAGGGGGGUGGGGAAGAAGAGCAGGGAAGGAUAACCAAGCUCAACCUGGAGGAGAAGCCAUGUAAAAGGAAGGCACGGCCGGUGAUAAAUAAAGGAGGAGAUGCCGUGGGCUAAACUGAAAUUGACGUGUGUCCCUCGAGGUCACGAGGCUGAAAAGGCACAACUGAUUCUACAAGUGCAGGCGAUUAGCACCCGGUGGAGUGUCAACAUUCCUGCGUGUUCCUGUCGCAGUUUAUCCUGGUGCCUGUCUGCAAGUGUGAAAGCGUAACAAGAACUCCUAACUGGGCCAACAUAAGGAUGGCUGACUGAAAUGUCAGCUUGGCUUUUUAAAAAUGUGCCCAUCGUGCUCAAUUAGGCACAAAAGAAUACUGCUUUGCUCGCAUUGCAUCUGAGCCACUAGACACAAAACUAAAGAAAAGGAGGCCAAGCUUAAAAAAAAAAAAAAAGAAACGGAGAAAAGAGGAGGGACAAGACCCCACAGAAGCAAUGCGGUGAAUGUGCUUCACUAAAAGAACAAAGAAGGGGGGACUAUUUAGGUGCGGCAUGUUGUCCCUUUGCUUCCUAUCCACCAUUUUCUUAUUCCAUUCCUUGAACAGCUGUCUCGAAAAGCACAUCUAAAUUCAAAUAGGUGAUAGGAUUACCAGCUCUGAGCCUGUACCCUUUCCAGCCAGCUACCCUAAAGAUUUAUUCUGUGGGUGAUAAACCGGAUGCAGCUGCUCGUAAGGGUGGGAGGAGCUGGGAAGUGCUUUGCCUGAUGUCUGGGGACUAGGGCCAAAAACACCACUUCAACUUGAUCUCAACAGCGCCCUCCACAGGCAUGAAUUUGUCUUUGUCAGCUGCUCAACAUGCAAUGCAACAAUAAUAUGCAACAGUGAGAACAAGCUGAAUAGACAAGCAUCCCUUCAAGAAUUCACUUUAAGCAUUGCAAGCAUGUGUUGCCAAAUGGCCGCUGUGCUUCUCUUACCACUUCAUCCUCGGACCAGCACUUCUCUAUCAACUUUGGCACUGGUUUCUUCACCAGGCGCUGGAGAGCUUUGCCGGCAUCAUAGCUGCUCUCGUGAAGCUGUGGGAAACAGGAUUUUAUACCUCUGGAUUUAAACCCACUGGAUUUAAGUGACAGACACAUCUCUCAUUACAGCUGAGGUGUUAAGAAGCCCCCGAGGGAGAGUUUACUACACGAGGGCUGCUCUACUGGCUCGGGGGCCGUAUUAUUACCAUCACUGAAGCACAUCUGCAAUGAGUGGACUUGUGGUGAUUCAAACUUUACGAUGGCCUUUUUCACUACCUACAUGAAACCCAGUAUUUAGAAUGAUUGUCCUUACAGUGUUGAGUGCGUUUAAUGUAGUGUCAUCUCGAGAGGCUGCAAGACAUCCAUCCUCUGUUGAGCCUCCGUCACACAUCCCUGCAAAGGCAGCCAUGCUCCUGUGGAUGAGGCAAAUGGUCAAUAUGAAUGAAGCGUUCCAAUGUCCCUUGAGCGACAAAUAUGGUCUCUCAGGGGCUAGUGAAAAUAAAUCAUAA